rnacentral:rRNA from 1 species
UACGGAGGGUGCAAGCGUUAUCCGGAUUCACUGGGUUUAAAGGGUGUGUAGGCGGGUUAUUAAGUCAGUGGUGAAAUCUCCGGGCUCAACCCGGAAACUGCCAUUGAUACUAUUAGCCUUGAAUUCUGUUGAGGUGGGCGGAAUAUGUCAUGUAGCGGUGAAAUGCAUAGAUAUGACAUAGAACACCAAUUGCGAAGGCAGCUCACUAAACAGCGAUUGACGCUGAGGCACGAAAGCGUGGGGAUCAAACAGGG